GCCGAAUAUGGAGAGGAAAGACAUGACCACAGCGCUAAGAAUGCCUCCAGAAUGGAAAACGAACAAGAAAUGAACUAGCACAGACACUUUUUCCUUCUGCUAAUACCACCGUAGCAGAGCCUGAUGUCUGGCAGACAGCAAGGCGCAAGUAUUCCCAGCACUACAUGUUUAUCUAUGUAUACCCAAGACAAUACACGUACCACACACAAAUAGGCCAAGAAGGCUUGACGAGCACAUAAACCAUACACACAAUCACACACACACACAAAAAAACCCCCCCCAAAAAAACGUAAACUGUGCCAGUACGCCUCACGCCACAGCAAUAGCUGGUAAACACACAGCGCAAACAGCGAAACGCACACGAAAACAGCAAUGGAAAGAUUCAGGCACCCUAGAUGCAACCAACCGCACCACACCUUAAAAGUUGACAGAGUAACCACGCUCACACCUUGCACUAUCAUGGUAGUGCAACACCCUUCAGUGGGAAAUGUAUGCUAAAAUGUUUGUUACUGUAUACAUUGUUUUGUUCUAUUCGAAUGUUAUGUAUGAUGUUUGUAUAGCUAAUUCCCUAGCCCUACCCCCUUCCAUCCCAAUCCCAACCCCAGGCAUUGCAGAGCCCCACAGUGGGAACCGCGGGGGCAACACAUACACGGACCCCUUGGGGAAACCGUAUAUCACCAUGGUGUAACAUACACUGACAGAAAC